UUCGUCUAGAAGAAGGGGAAAAAUAGAGCUCUCUAUGCGUCUGAGGCAUCAAAAGCCAUGACAGAUCACCUCAGGCUUCAGCGUUUGUCAACCUAAGUUGAGCGUGACUAGGUCAUUUCCUUGUAACAUUAAACUGACGCAUGUCCGUGCCAGCAGCCACAAGGCCGGCACAGCCAUAAGGUCGUCAGGGAGGCGCUUCUGUUGCCUCCGAAGGCGUCAACUAGCCAAAUUAUUCGAACCUUGUUGGGCAUUACAUUGUGGAGCAAAUACGGUCCAUUUUCUGCGCUUUUCCGGAAAGACUCCUUCUUGUUGCAAUGCAUGGUACGACAGUCAAGCCCGGUUCGCUGCAGCCUGCGGGGGGAGGACUAGGGGAAGUUGGUGGUUUGGAAAGCAGUGCUCGGUCCCAGUGAAGAAGGAAAAGGUAAUCGGUUGUACGCUAGUGACAAAAGAUUAGGGAACCCUGAGGUCACAUUCUCAGACCAAGGCGGUCUUCAUUGUACAACCAUGUGCGAACGUCUGUUGGCACGCAAAGAGUCUCCGCGACGCCGGGCAUGUGCACAAUCCAUUGCAGGAACUCUGCGAUGAGACAGCAAACAAACCCUUAAUAACAUAUUGAGGAAGUUGGUUCUCUUGAAACGAGUGGACGCCGUACAACUCAAAGACGGGCAUAUUUGUAUGUAUACAGCAUCGGGAUUCCGUUUAUUGUGCUCGGAAAGGAAUGACUCGGAUGUCAUCGGCCAGCGGGUUAGUCCGCUGUUCUUGUAUACUUCUGUUUGUCCCCGGAGGUCUUGAAAUAAACAUGCCUACCAUCUUGGUUUCGUUCAUCGUGUGCGUCGCUUACCAUUAUACCACAGUAACUUCUGAUUGUCUUCUACAUGAAACUGCCUGAGAGAGGAUCACCGACCAAGCGACAGCGUUGCUUACACCCGGAAACCCUCCGAUAGACUGAAGCGCGGGUUUGUUUUCAUCAGGUGAGCUGGGACAGCUUACUGGAUCGCCGCAUCAGCCCAGGCCUCCAAAAUUCCAUAUGCUGCUCUGGAAGGUAAGGCAUGCCGACAGUUGGAGACAGAACUGUUGUUUCUGUGUGUUGGACGUGCGCGUAACUCGCUUUCUUCUUUUUCGGAGGCUAAAGGCACCUCUCCUAAAACAAGCUUGAAAACCCUGCGUGCAGUGCCACCGUUAGACGUCCAAAGGGUUCUAUUCCGAAUUCGAUGAGUUUUAUAUGGAGACGAUGGUCACAUCUGGUACUGUUUCCGUGAAUUUGAUUCUUUGGCAGAUGCCUUUCACUCACUUGCUGAUUUCGUCUUCUGUAUGCCUCUCAAGAACAACUCUGAAUCACCACAUUGUGCAACGCAAAGGCGCUCUGCUCUUCAUCAUACGGCAAUUCGAGGAUUUCCCGUGCGGUGAGGACAAAAACUUGGUCGCACCGAACACCAUCCCUUACGGCUGAAGCCUGGUCUUCCUGAGAUGUUCAGAGCUAUCUUGUCAAAAUUUGGCAGUUCUAGACGCAAAUCGCUUCGGUAACUGGUUGCGUCUGCCAUAAAACCGUCACUCGCAAGCUUCUUGGAGAGCCAGACGAUCGUCGUAUGGCAGCCAUGCUCUUAUCAGCACAUCUGCCCCACCCAACUGUGUGAAUCGGUUAACUCACUGGGUGAUCAGCUGUAUUUCGGACAGGCAAAGAUGUAAACAUAUCGUACUUCGACAAUUGUGGAAUUCAUGGCAUUCUAAACAUCCGUUGAUAGAUGUCGGGGAGCAUAAUGCUUGGCGUCUGCGAACGGAGCCGACCCAGGAGAAUCCAGUCUCGUUAUGCGAGCAACUGUUUCGUCAAGCUGUCAAUUCAUCUUUUGUGUGAGCGACGAACUUUGCUUUGAACUCUUCGCUGUUCCAGU
rnacentral:lncRNA from 1 species